rnacentral:rRNA from 1 species
UUGGAGGGCAAGUCUGGUGCCAGCAGCCGCGGUAAUUCCAGCUCCAAUAGCGUAUAUUAAAGUUGUUGCAGUUAAAAAGCUCGUAGUUGAAUUUCGGGGUCAGUAGGUUGGUCAUGCCACUGGUAUGUACUGGUCUCACUGAUUCCUCCUUCCUGAUGAACUGUAAUGCCAUUAAUUUGGUGUUGCAGGGAAUCUGGACUGUUACUUUGAAAAAAUUAGAGUGUUUAAAGCAGGCUAACGCCUGAAUACAUUAGCAUGGAAUAAUGAAAUAGGACGUUCGAUCCUAUUUUGUUGGUUUCUAGGAUUGACGUAAUGAUUAAUAGGGAUAGUUGGGGGCAUUAGUAUUCAAUUGUCAGAGGUGAAAUUCUUGGAUUUAUUGAGGACUAACUACUGCGAAAGCAUUUGCCAAGGAUGUUUUCAUUAAUCAAGAACGAAAGUUAGGGGAUCGAAGACGAUCAGAUACCGUCGUAGUCUUAACCAUAAACUAUGCCGACUAGGGAUCGGAUGAUGUUAAUUUUUUAAUGACUCAUUCGGCGCCUUACGGGAAAC